GGGGAUAUAGCUCAGUUGGUGGAGUGCUAGUCUCAUAUGCACAAGGUUCUGGGUUCAAUACCCAGCACCACCA
rnacentral:tRNA from 1 species